AUUGAACGCUGGCGGCAUGCUUCACACAUGCAAGUCGAACGGUAACAGGGAGCUUGCUCCGCUGACGAGUGGCGAACGGGUGAGUAAUGCGUCGGAACGUGCCGAGUAGUGGGGGAUAACGCAUCGAAAGGUGUGCUAAUACCGCAUACGUACUGAGGUAGAAAGUGGGGGACCUUCGGGCCUCACGCUAUUCGAGCGGCCGACGGCUGAUUAGCUAGUUGGUGAGGUAAAGGCUCACCAAGGCGACGAUCAGUAGCGGGUCUGAGAGGAUGAUCCGCCACACUGGGACUGAGACACGGCCCAGACUCCUACGGGAGGCAGCAGUGGGGAAUUUUGGACAAUGGGCGAAAGCCUGAUCCAGCCAUGCCGCGUGUCUGAAGAAGGCCUUCGGGUUGUAAAGGACUUUUGUCCGGGAGCAAAUGCCUGGUGUUAAUAGCACUGGGAGCUGAGAGUACCGGAAGAAUGAGCACCGGCUAACUACGUGCCAGCCGCCGCGGUAAUAC
rnacentral:rRNA from 1 species